GACAGAGGUGCCAAGCGUUAGGCGGAAUCACUGGGCUUAAAGCGCGUGUAGGCGGAAUGGUAAGUACCUUGUGAAAUCCCACGGCUCAACCGUGGAACUGCUUGGUAUACUGCUUUUCUUGAGCCACUUAGGGGCAACCGGAACAAACGGUGGAGCGGUGAAAUGCGUAGAUAUCGUUUGGAACGCCAAUGGUGAAAACAGGUUGCUGGGAGUGUGCUGACGCUGAGACACGAAAGCCAGGGGAGCAAACGGG
rnacentral:rRNA from 1 species